CCUACGGGUGGCAGCAGUGGGGAAUAUUGGGCAAUGGGCGCAAGCCUGACCCAGCAACGCCGCGUGAAGGAAGAAGGCUUUCGGGUUGUAAACUUCUUUUGUCAGGGACGAAGCAAGUGACGGUACCUGACGAAUAAGCCACGGCUAACUACGUGCCAGCAGCCGCGGUAAUACGUAGGUGGGAAGCGUUAUCCGGAUUUAUUGGGUGUAAAGGGCGAGUAGGCGGGAAUGCAAGUCAGAUGUGAAAACUAUGGGCUCAACCCAUAGCCUGCAUCUGAAACUGUAUUUCUUGAGUGCUGUAGAGGCCAUCGGAAUUCCGUGUGUAGCGGUGAAAUGCGUAGAUAUACGGAGGAACACCAGUGGCGAAGGCGGAUUGCUGGACAGUAACUGACGCUGAGGCGCGAAAGCGUGGGGAGCAAACAGGAUUAGAUACCCGGGUAGUC
rnacentral:rRNA from 1 species